GGUAGUGUGGCCAAGUGGUCUAAGGCACUGGAUUAAGGCUUCAGUCCCUUUGGUGGUGUGGGUUCAAAUCCCACUACUGCCG